UUAUGCCGCAUGGCAUAAGAGUGAAAGGCGCUUUCGGGUGUCGCUGAUGGAUGGACCCGCGGUGCAUUAGCUAGUUGGUGAGGUAACGGCUCACCAAGGCCACGAUGCAUAGCCGACCUGAGAGGGUGAUCGGCCACACUGGGACUGAGACACGGCCCAGACUCCUACGGGAGGCAGCAGUAGGGAAUCUUCGGCAAUGGACGAAAGUCUGACCGAGCAACGCCGCGUGAGUGAAGAAGGUUUUCGGAUCGUAAAACUCUGUUGUUAGAGAAGAACAAGGACGUUAGUAACUGAACGUCCCCUGACGGUAUCUAACCAGAAAGCCACGGCUAACUACGUGCCAGCAGCCGCGGUAAUACGUAGGUGGCAAGCGUUGUCCGGAUUUAUUGGGCGUAAAGCGAGCGCAGGCGGUUUCUUAAGUCUGAUGUGAAAGCCCCC
rnacentral:rRNA from 1 species